GUGUCCUACGGGGCGCAGCAGUGGGGAAUAUUGGGCAAUGGGCGCAAGCCUGACCCAGCAACGCCGCGUGAAGGAAGAAGGCUUUCGGGUUGUAAACUUCUUUUAAGAGGGAAGAGAAGAAGACGGUACCUCUUGAAUAAGCCACGGCUAACUACGUGCCAGCAGCCGCGGUAAUACGUAGGUGGCAAGUGUUAUCCGGAUUUAUUGGGUGUAAAGGGCGUGUAGGCGGGAGCGCAAGUCAGAUGUGAAAACUCAGGGCUCAACCCUGAGCCUGCAUUUGAAACUGUUGGUCUUGAGUAUCGGAG
rnacentral:rRNA from 1 species